UUUCUUGGCAUCCAAAUGCAUCCUUAUCAUGCUUUAUUAUCAUUAUUCUUUCUUCAUUAGACACUAAUUAAUCUUAUAAUUCACACAGUUUUGCCCACAGUUACUGAGAUUACAGUUGAGACUCCUGAUGAUUCACAACUCACUCUCAAGGGAAUAUCAACGGACAGGAUAUUGGAUGUGAGAAAGCUUUUGGGUGUUCAUGUGGAGACUUGUCAUUUGACAAAUUUCUCUUUGUCUCAUGAGGUUUAUUUCUUCUUUAUCUCUUUUUACUAUCAAUACUUUUUAAUUAUUUUGUCUUUGCCCCAAAAUUCCCAGUUUCUUUCCUAUAUAUCCCUUUCAUGAUGGUUACUUUUCUUUGCCCUUAGAUUGUGGGGCUCUUUUCCUGUUUUGUGCACGACACUGACAUCGUGUCAUUCAAUGUGGUCCAUUUUGAUGUCAUAUGAUCAUAUAUCGAUUGUGACUA